rnacentral:lncRNA from 1 species
UUGUAACUGUAAUAACUAAACGACGGCGUUUGGGUGAUUCGUCGACCUCAGGCUCAAACCCCCUUAGGGUUUAGGAGGGACUGUGAUUUUGAUUUUAAUCAGUUCAUCAUCAAUGGCUUCCUCUACUACUUCCUCUCCUUCUCUUCUCUUCCCUUCUCGAAAUUUCGCAUCUUUUCCAUCAAUCCCCCUCCAUAGAAGCUCCGUCUCCUUCAUUCGCUGUAUCUCCAAGAACCCUUCUCCGUCCACCACCACCACAAGCGAGGACGACAUUCUCCGUUUCGUGGCGAACUCCGACGGAAAGGCACUUCCACAAAGACUUUCGUUUACACAAUAAAAACAAAACUAGAAAUGAUUAUGUUUAGGAUUGUGUUUAAACACCUGUUGGGGAGCCACUGUCAAAGACUUUCGUUUACACAAUAAAAACAAAACUAGAAAUGAUUAUGUUUAGGAUUGUGUUUAAACACCUGUUGGGGAGCCACUGUCAAAGACUUUCGUUUACACAAUAAAAACAAAACUAGAAAUGAUUAUGUUUAGGAUUGUGUUUAAACACCUGUUGGGGAGCCACUGUCAAAGACUUUCGUUUACACAAUAAAAACAAAACUAGAAAUGAUUAUGUUUAGGAUUGUGUUUAAACACCUGUUGGGGAGCCACUGUCAAAGACUUUCGUUUACACAAUAAAAACAAAACUAGAAAUGAUUAUGUUUAGGAUUGUGUUUAAACACCUGUUGGGGAGCCACUGUCAAAGACUUUCGUUUACACAAUAAAAACAAAACUAGAAAUGAUUAUGUUUAGGAUUGUGUUUAAACACCUGUUGGGGAGCCACUGUCAAAGACUUUCGUUUACACAAUAAAAACAAAACUAGAAAUGAUUAUGUUUAGGAUUGUGUUUAAACACCUGUUGGGGAGCCACUGUCAAAGACUUUCGUUUACACAAUAAAAACAAAACUAGAAAUGAUUAUGUUUAGGAUUGUGUUUAAACACCUGUUGGGGAGCCACUGUCAAAGACUUUCGUUUACACAAUAAAAACAAAACUAGAAAUGAUUAUGUUUAGGAUUGUGUUUAAACACCUGUUGGGGAGCCACUGUCAAAGACUUUCGUUUACACAAUAAAAACAAAACUAGAAAUGAUUAUGUUUAGGAUUGUGUUUAAACACCUGUUGGGGAGCCACUGUCAAAGACUUUCGUUUACACAAUAAAAACAAAACUAGAAAUGAUUAUGUUUAGGAUUGUGUUUAAACACCUGUUGGGGAGCCACUGUCAAAGACUUUCGUUUACACAAUAAAAACAAAACUAGAAAUGAUUAUGUUUAGGAUUGUGUUUAAACACCUGUUGGGGAGCCACUGUCAAAGACUUUCGUUUACACAAUAAAAACAAAACUAGAAAUGAUUAUGUUUAGGAUUGUGUUUAAACACCUGUUGGGGAGCCACUGUCAAAGACUUUCGUUUACACAAUAAAAACAAAACUAGAAAUGAUUAUGUUUAGGAUUGUGUUUAAACACCUGUUGGGGAGCCACUGUCAAAGACUUUCGUUUACACAAUAAAAACAAAACUAGAAAUGAUUAUGUUUAGGAUUGUGUUUAAACACCUGUUGGGGAGCCACUGUCAAAGACUUUCGUUUACACAAUAAAAACAAAACUAGAAAUGAUUAUGUUUAGGAUUGUGUUUAAACACCUGUUGGGGAGCCACUGUCAAAGACUUUCGUUUACACAAUAAAAACAAAACUAGAAAUGAUUAUGUUUAGGAUUGUGUUUAAACACCUGUUGGGGAGCCACUGUCAAAGACUUUCGUUUACACAAUAAAAACAAAACUAGAAAUGAUUAUGUUUAGGAUUGUGUUUAAACACCUGUUGGGGAGCCACUGUCAAAGACUUUCGUUUACACAAUAAAAACAAAACUAGAAAUGAUUAUGUUUAGGAUUGUGUUUAAACACCUGUUGGGGAGCCACUGUCAAAGACUUUCGUUUACACAAUAAAAACAAAACUAGAAAUGAUUAUGUUUAGGAUUGUGUUUAAACACCUGUUGGGGAGCCACUGUCAAAGACUUUCGUUUACACAAUAAAAACAAAACUAGAAAUGAUUAUGUUUAGGAUUGUGUUUAAACACCUGUUGGGGAGCCACUGUCAAAGACUUUCGUUUACACAAUAAAAACAAAACUAGAAAUGAUUAUGUUUAGGAUUGUGUUUAAACACCUGUUGGGGAGCCACUGUCAAAGACUUUCGUUUACACAAUAAAAACAAAACUAGAAAUGAUUAUGUUUAGGAUUGUGUUUAAACACCUGUUGGGGAGCCACUGUCAAAGACUUUCGUUUACACAAUAAAAACAAAACUAGAAAUGAUUAUGUUUAGGAUUGUGUUUAAACACCUGUUGGGGAGCCACUGUCAAAGACUUUCGUUUACACAAUAAAAACAAAACUAGAAAUGAUUAUGUUUAGGAUUGUGUUUAAACACCUGUUGGGGAGCCACUGUCAAAGACUUUCGUUUACACAAUAAAAACAAAACUAGAAAUGAUUAUGUUUAGGAUUGUGUUUAAACACCUGUUGGGGAGCCACUGUCAAAGACUUUCGUUUACACAAUAAAAACAAAACUAGAAAUGAUUAUGUUUAGGAUUGUGUUUAAACACCUGUUGGGGAGCCACUGUCAAAGACUUUCGUUUACACAAUAAAAACAAAACUAGAAAUGAUUAUGUUUAGGAUUGUGUUUAAACACCUGUUGGGGAGCCACUGUCAAAGACUUUCGUUUACACAAUAAAAACAAAACUAGAAAUGAUUAUGUUUAGGAUUGUGUUUAAACACCUGUUGGGGAGCCACUGUCAAAGACUUUCGUUUACACAAUAAAAACAAAACUAGAAAUGAUUAUGUUUAGGAUUGUGUUUAAACACCUGUUGGGGAGCCACUGUCAAAGACUUUCGUUUACACAAUAAAAACAAAACUAGAAAUGAUUAUGUUUAGGAUUGUGUUUAAACACCUGUUGGGGAGCCACUGUCAAAGACUUUCGUUUACACAAUAAAAACAAAACUAGAAAUGAUUAUGUUUAGGAUUGUGUUUAAACACCUGUUGGGGAGCCACUGUCAAAGACUUUCGUUUACACAAUAAAAACAAAACUAGAAAUGAUUAUGUUUAGGAUUGUGUUUAAACACCUGUUGGGGAGCCACUGUCAAAGACUUUCGUUUACACAAUAAAAACAAAACUAGAAAUGAUUAUGUUUAGGAUUGUGUUUAAACACCUGUUGGGGAGCCACUGUCAAAGACUUUCGUUUACACAAUAAAAACAAAACUAGAAAUGAUUAUGUUUAGGAUUGUGUUUAAACACCUGUUGGGGAGCCACUGUCAAAGACUUUCGUUUACACAAUAAAAACAAAACUAGAAAUGAUUAUGUUUAGGAUUGUGUUUAAACACCUGUUGGGGAGCCACUGUCAAAGACUUUCGUUUACACAAUAAAAACAAAACUAGAAAUGAUUAUGUUUAGGAUUGUGUUUAAACACCUGUUGGGGAGCCACUGUCAAAGACUUUCGUUUACACAAUAAAAACAAAACUAGAAAUGAUUAUGUUUAGGAUUGUGUUUAAACACCUGUUGGGGAGCCACUGUCAAAGACUUUCGUUUACACAAUAAAAACAAAACUAGAAAUGAUUAUGUUUAGGAUUGUGUUUAAACACCUGUUGGGGAGCCACUGUCAAAGACUUUCGUUUACACAAUAAAAACAAAACUAGAAAUGAUUAUGUUUAGGAUUGUGUUUAAACACCUGUUGGGGAGCCACUGUCAAAGACUUUCGUUUACACAAUAAAAACAAAACUAGAAAUGAUUAUGUUUAGGAUUGUGUUUAAACACCUGUUGGGGAGCCACUGUCAAAGACUUUCGUUUACACAAUAAAAACAAAACUAGAAAUGAUUAUGUUUAGGAUUGUGUUUAAACACCUGUUGGGGAGCCACUGUCAAAGACUUUCGUUUACACAAUAAAAACAAAACUAGAAAUGAUUAUGUUUAGGAUUGUGUUUAAACACCUGUUGGGGAGCCACUGUCAAAGACUUUCGUUUACACAAUAAAAACAAAACUAGAAAUGAUUAUGUUUAGGAUUGUGUUUAAACACCUGUUGGGGAGCCACUGUCAAAGACUUUCGUUUACACAAUAAAAACAAAACUAGAAAUGAUUAUGUUUAGGAUUGUGUUUAAACACCUGUUGGGGAGCCACUGUCAAAGACUUUCGUUUACACAAUAAAAACAAAACUAGAAAUGAUUAUGUUUAGGAUUGUGUUUAAACACCUGUUGGGGAGCCACUGUCAAAGACUUUCGUUUACACAAUAAAAACAAAACUAGAAAUGAUUAUGUUUAGGAUUGUGUUUAAACACCUGUUGGGGAGCCACUGUCAAAGACUUUCGUUUACACAAUAAAAACAAAACUAGAAAUGAUUAUGUUUAGGAUUGUGUUUAAACACCUGUUGGGGAGCCACUGUCAAAGACUUUCGUUUACACAAUAAAAACAAAACUAGAAAUGAUUAUGUUUAGGAUUGUGUUUAAACACCUGUUGGGGAGCCACUGUCAAAGACUUUCGUUUACACAAUAAAAACAAAACUAGAAAUGAUUAUGUUUAGGAUUGUGUUUAAACACCUGUUGGGGAGCCACUGUCAAAGACUUUCGUUUACACAAUAAAAACAAAACUAGAAAUGAUUAUGUUUAGGAUUGUGUUUAAACACCUGUUGGGGAGCCACUGUCAAAGACUUUCGUUUACACAAUAAAAACAAAACUAGAAAUGAUUAUGUUUAGGAUUGUGUUUAAACACCUGUUGGGGAGCCACUGUCAAAGACUUUCGUUUACACAAUAAAAACAAAACUAGAAAUGAUUAUGUUUAGGAUUGUGUUUAAACACCUGUUGGGGAGCCACUGUCAAAGACUUUCGUUUACACAAUAAAAACAAAACUAGAAAUGAUUAUGUUUAGGAUUGUGUUUAAACACCUGUUGGGGAGCCACUGUCAAAGACUUUCGUUUACACAAUAAAAACAAAACUAGAAAUGAUUAUGUUUAGGAUUGUGUUUAAACACCUGUUGGGGAGCCACUGUCAAAGACUUUCGUUUACACAAUAAAAACAAAACUAGAAAUGAUUAUGUUUAGGAUUGUGUUUAAACACCUGUUGGGGAGCCACUGUCAAAGACUUUCGUUUACACAAUAAAAACAAAACUAGAAAUGAUUAUGUUUAGGAUUGUGUUUAAACACCUGUUGGGGAGCCACUGUCAAAGACUUUCGUUUACACAAUAAAAACAAAACUAGAAAUGAUUAUGUUUAGGAUUGUGUUUAAACACCUGUUGGGGAGCCACUGUCAAAGACUUUCGUUUACACAAUAAAAACAAAACUAGAAAUGAUUAUGUUUAGGAUUGUGUUUAAACACCUGUUGGGGAGCCACUGUCAAAGACUUUCGUUUACACAAUAAAAACAAAACUAGAAAUGAUUAUGUUUAGGAUUGUGUUUAAACACCUGUUGGGGAGCCACUGUCAAAGACUUUCGUUUACACAAUAAAAACAAAACUAGAAAUGAUUAUGUUUAGGAUUGUGUUUAAACACCUGUUGGGGAGCCACUGUCAAAGACUUUCGUUUACACAAUAAAAACAAAACUAGAAAUGAUUAUGUUUAGGAUUGUGUUUAAACACCUGUUGGGGAGCCACUGUCAAAGACUUUCGUUUACACAAUAAAAACAAAACUAGAAAUGAUUAUGUUUAGGAUUGUGUUUAAACACCUGUUGGGGAGCCACUGUCAAAGACUUUCGUUUACACAAUAAAAACAAAACUAGAAAUGAUUAUGUUUAGGAUUGUGUUUAAACACCUGUUGGGGAGCCACUGUCAAAGACUUUCGUUUACACAAUAAAAACAAAACUAGAAAUGAUUAUGUUUAGGAUUGUGUUUAAACACCUGUUGGGGAGCCACUGUCAAAGACUUUCGUUUACACAAUAAAAACAAAACUAGAAAUGAUUAUGUUUAGGAUUGUGUUUAAACACCUGUUGGGGAGCCACUGUCAAAGACUUUCGUUUACACAAUAAAAACAAAACUAGAAAUGAUUAUGUUUAGGAUUGUGUUUAAACACCUGUUGGGGAGCCACUGUCAAAGACUUUCGUUUACACAAUAAAAACAAAACUAGAAAUGAUUAUGUUUAGGAUUGUGUUUAAACACCUGUUGGGGAGCCACUGUCAAAGACUUUCGUUUACACAAUAAAAACAAAACUAGAAAUGAUUAUGUUUAGGAUUGUGUUUAAACACCUGUUGGGGAGCCACUGUCAAAGACUUUCGUUUACACAAUAAAAACAAAACUAGAAAUGAUUAUGUUUAGGAUUGUGUUUAAACACCUGUUGGGGAGCCACUGUCAAAGACUUUCGUUUACACAAUAAAAACAAAACUAGAAAUGAUUAUGUUUAGGAUUGUGUUUAAACACCUGUUGGGGAGCCACUGUCAAAGACUUUCGUUUACACAAUAAAAACAAAACUAGAAAUGAUUAUGUUUAGGAUUGUGUUUAAACACCUGUUGGGGAGCCACUGUCAAAGACUUUCGUUUACACAAUAAAAACAAAACUAGAAAUGAUUAUGUUUAGGAUUGUGUUUAAACACCUGUUGGGGAGCCACUGUCAAAGACUUUCGUUUACACAAUAAAAACAAAACUAGAAAUGAUUAUGUUUAGGAUUGUGUUUAAACACCUGUUGGGGAGCCACUGUCAAAGACUUUCGUUUACACAAUAAAAACAAAACUAGAAAUGAUUAUGUUUAGGAUUGUGUUUAAACACCUGUUGGGGAGCCACUGUCAAAGACUUUCGUUUACACAAUAAAAACAAAACUAGAAAUGAUUAUGUUUAGGAUUGUGUUUAAACACCUGUUGGGGAGCCACUGUCAAAGACUUUCGUUUACACAAUAAAAACAAAACUAGAAAUGAUUAUGUUUAGGAUUGUGUUUAAACACCUGUUGGGGAGCCACUGUCAAAGACUUUCGUUUACACAAUAAAAACAAAACUAGAAAUGAUUAUGUUUAGGAUUGUGUUUAAACACCUGUUGGGGAGCCACUGUCAAAGACUUUCGUUUACACAAUAAAAACAAAACUAGAAAUGAUUAUGUUUAGGAUUGUGUUUAAACACCUGUUGGGGAGCCACUGUCAAAGACUUUCGUUUACACAAUAAAAACAAAACUAGAAAUGAUUAUGUUUAGGAUUGUGUUUAAACACCUGUUGGGGAGCCACUGUCAAAGACUUUCGUUUACACAAUAAAAACAAAACUAGAAAUGAUUAUGUUUAGGAUUGUGUUUAAACACCUGUUGGGGAGCCACUGUCAAAGACUUUCGUUUACACAAUAAAAACAAAACUAGAAAUGAUUAUGUUUAGGAUUGUGUUUAAACACCUGUUGGGGAGCCACUGUCAAAGACUUUCGUUUACACAAUAAAAACAAAACUAGAAAUGAUUAUGUUUAGGAUUGUGUUUAAACACCUGUUGGGGAGCCACUGUCAAAGACUUUCGUUUACACAAUAAAAACAAAACUAGAAAUGAUUAUGUUUAGGAUUGUGUUUAAACACCUGUUGGGGAGCCACUGUCAAAGACUUUCGUUUACACAAUAAAAACAAAACUAGAAAUGAUUAUGUUUAGGAUUGUGUUUAAACACCUGUUGGGGAGCCACUGUCAAAGACUUUCGUUUACACAAUAAAAACAAAACUAGAAAUGAUUAUGUUUAGGAUUGUGUUUAAACACCUGUUGGGGAGCCACUGUCAAAGACUUUCGUUUACACAAUAAAAACAAAACUAGAAAUGAUUAUGUUUAGGAUUGUGUUUAAACACCUGUUGGGGAGCCACUGUCAAAGACUUUCGUUUACACAAUAAAAACAAAACUAGAAAUGAUUAUGUUUAGGAUUGUGUUUAAACACCUGUUGGGGAGCCACUGUCAAAGACUUUCGUUUACACAAUAAAAACAAAACUAGAAAUGAUUAUGUUUAGGAUUGUGUUUAAACACCUGUUGGGGAGCCACUGUCAAAGACUUUCGUUUACACAAUAAAAACAAAACUAGAAAUGAUUAUGUUUAGGAUUGUGUUUAAACACCUGUUGGGGAGCCACUGUCAAAGACUUUCGUUUACACAAUAAAAACAAAACUAGAAAUGAUUAUGUUUAGGAUUGUGUUUAAACACCUGUUGGGGAGCCACUGUCAAAGACUUUCGUUUACACAAUAAAAACAAAACUAGAAAUGAUUAUGUUUAGGAUUGUGUUUAAACACCUGUUGGGGAGCCACUGUCAAAGACUUUCGUUUACACAAUAAAAACAAAACUAGAAAUGAUUAUGUUUAGGAUUGUGUUUAAACACCUGUUGGGGAGCCACUGUCAAAGACUUUCGUUUACACAAUAAAAACAAAACUAGAAAUGAUUAUGUUUAGGAUUGUGUUUAAACACCUGUUGGGGAGCCACUGUCAAAGACUUUCGUUUACACAAUAAAAACAAAACUAGAAAUGAUUAUGUUUAGGAUUGUGUUUAAACACCUGUUGGGGAGCCACUGUCAAAGACUUUCGUUUACACAAUAAAAACAAAACUAGAAAUGAUUAUGUUUAGGAUUGUGUUUAAACACCUGUUGGGGAGCCACUGUCAAAGACUUUCGUUUACACAAUAAAAACAAAACUAGAAAUGAUUAUGUUUAGGAUUGUGUUUAAACACCUGUUGGGGAGCCACUGUCAAAGACUUUCGUUUACACAAUAAAAACAAAACUAGAAAUGAUUAUGUUUAGGAUUGUGUUUAAACACCUGUUGGGGAGCCACUGUCAAAGACUUUCGUUUACACAAUAAAAACAAAACUAGAAAUGAUUAUGUUUAGGAUUGUGUUUAAACACCUGUUGGGGAGCCACUGUCAAAGACUUUCGUUUACACAAUAAAAACAAAACUAGAAAUGAUUAUGUUUAGGAUUGUGUUUAAACACCUGUUGGGGAGCCACUGUCAAAGACUUUCGUUUACACAAUAAAAACAAAACUAGAAAUGAUUAUGUUUAGGAUUGUGUUUAAACACCUGUUGGGGAGCCACUGUCAAAGACUUUCGUUUACACAAUAAAAACAAAACUAGAAAUGAUUAUGUUUAGGAUUGUGUUUAAACACCUGUUGGGGAGCCACUGUCAAAGACUUUCGUUUACACAAUAAAAACAAAACUAGAAAUGAUUAUGUUUAGGAUUGUGUUUAAACACCUGUUGGGGAGCCACUGUCAAAGACUUUCGUUUACACAAUAAAAACAAAACUAGAAAUGAUUAUGUUUAGGAUUGUGUUUAAACACCUGUUGGGGAGCCACUGUCAAAGACUUUCGUUUACACAAUAAAAACAAAACUAGAAAUGAUUAUGUUUAGGAUUGUGUUUAAACACCUGUUGGGGAGCCACUGUCAAAGACUUUCGUUUACACAAUAAAAACAAAACUAGAAAUGAUUAUGUUUAGGAUUGUGUUUAAACACCUGUUGGGGAGCCACUGUCAAAGACUUUCGUUUACACAAUAAAAACAAAACUAGAAAUGAUUAUGUUUAGGAUUGUGUUUAAACACCUGUUGGGGAGCCACUGUCAAAGACUUUCGUUUACACAAUAAAAACAAAACUAGAAAUGAUUAUGUUUAGGAUUGUGUUUAAACACCUGUUGGGGAGCCACUGUCAAAGACUUUCGUUUACACAAUAAAAACAAAACUAGAAAUGAUUAUGUUUAGGAUUGUGUUUAAACACCUGUUGGGGAGCCACUGUCAAAGACUUUCGUUUACACAAUAAAAACAAAACUAGAAAUGAUUAUGUUUAGGAUUGUGUUUAAACACCUGUUGGGGAGCCACUGUCAAAGACUUUCGUUUACACAAUAAAAACAAAACUAGAAAUGAUUAUGUUUAGGAUUGUGUUUAAACACCUGUUGGGGAGCCACUGUCAAAGACUUUCGUUUACACAAUAAAAACAAAACUAGAAAUGAUUAUGUUUAGGAUUGUGUUUAAACACCUGUUGGGGAGCCACUGUCAAAGACUUUCGUUUACACAAUAAAAACAAAACUAGAAAUGAUUAUGUUUAGGAUUGUGUUUAAACACCUGUUGGGGAGCCACUGUCAAAGACUUUCGUUUACACAAUAAAAACAAAACUAGAAAUGAUUAUGUUUAGGAUUGUGUUUAAACACCUGUUGGGGAGCCACUGUCAAAGACUUUCGUUUACACAAUAAAAACAAAACUAGAAAUGAUUAUGUUUAGGAUUGUGUUUAAACACCUGUUGGGGAGCCACUGUCAAAGACUUUCGUUUACACAAUAAAAACAAAACUAGAAAUGAUUAUGUUUAGGAUUGUGUUUAAACACCUGUUGGGGAGCCACUGUCAAAGACUUUCGUUUACACAAUAAAAACAAAACUAGAAAUGAUUAUGUUUAGGAUUGUGUUUAAACACCUGUUGGGGAGCCACUGUCAAAGACUUUCGUUUACACAAUAAAAACAAAACUAGAAAUGAUUAUGUUUAGGAUUGUGUUUAAACACCUGUUGGGGAGCCACUGUCAAAGACUUUCGUUUACACAAUAAAAACAAAACUAGAAAUGAUUAUGUUUAGGAUUGUGUUUAAACACCUGUUGGGGAGCCACUGUCAAAGACUUUCGUUUACACAAUAAAAACAAAACUAGAAAUGAUUAUGUUUAGGAUUGUGUUUAAACACCUGUUGGGGAGCCACUGUCAAAGACUUUCGUUUACACAAUAAAAACAAAACUAGAAAUGAUUAUGUUUAGGAUUGUGUUUAAACACCUGUUGGGGAGCCACUGUCAAAGACUUUCGUUUACACAAUAAAAACAAAACUAGAAAUGAUUAUGUUUAGGAUUGUGUUUAAACACCUGUUGGGGAGCCACUGUCAAAGACUUUCGUUUACACAAUAAAAACAAAAUUAGAAAUGUACCACUGAUCAUUAAUCAAAUAUAACACAAACAAAUACAGGAGAUUCCUUGAAUUUCUCUGGUACCUCUCGCUGUCUUCCCAAACUCAAAACUCAAUUUAGAAAGCGUUACAAACAACAGAAGACAAAAAAUAUUAUUUUUAGAACCAAACAAAAAAGCAUUUGGGAUUGAAGUAUUGUCAACCCAAGUUCUUGGAACAGCCAAAUAACAUUCUCAUUCUUGAAUAAAACUGUCUCAAGAACAAACUCAUAAAGACAAAAGAGGUUAGUUUUGGACGUAACAUGGGAGCAUAUAGAGCAGAAGACGAUUACGAUUACCUCUUCAAGGUGGUCUUAACCGGAGACUCUGGUGUCGGAAAGUCUAAUCUUUUAUCUCGUUUCACCAGAAAUGACUUCAGCAACGACUCACGUGCAACCAUCGGUGUAGAAUUCGCCACACGUAGCAUCCAAUGCGAUGACAAGAUCGUCAAAGCUCAAAUCUGGGACACCGCCGGUCAAGAAAGGUAAACAAAACAUCCAAGAACGUGUUUUAACACAUUAAUUACGUUUUCUUGAUUGACCAAACUCAAACAUUAGGUACCGAGCCAUCACGAGCGCAUAUUACCGAGGAGCCGUUGGUGCGUUGCUAGUUUACGACGUGACACGUCAUGUGACGUUCGAGAACGUUGAGCGAUGGCUCAAGGAGCUAAGGGACCACACGGACGCAAACAUUGUGAUAAUGCUCGUUGGUAACAAAGCUGAUCUUCGUCACCUUAGAGCCAUCUCUACCGAAGAAGCGAAGGCCUUUGCGGAGAGAGAGAACACAUUUUUCAUGGAGACUUCAGCACUUGAAGCUCUGAAUGUUGAGAAUGCUUUCACCGAAGUUCUCACAGAGAUUUACAGAGUGGUUAGCAAGAAAGCGCUUGAAGCUGGAGAUGAUCCAACCACUGCUUUGCCUAAAGGACAGACGAUUAAUGUCGGAGGCCGAGAUGAUAUCUCAGCCGUUAAAAAACCUGGUUGCUGCUCUGCUUAGAUACACUCGUCUCUCUUUCUUUCUUGUAUUUUAUUUAUUAAGCAUUAACAUUUUCACUAAUUUCUUGCAAAUUUGUAUACAAACAAAGUUUAUAUUCAAGUUUUUUUUUUAAAAGUUUCUACUCUACAACCGUAAUCGCUUUGUGCUCUCUCUCUCUCUCUUUGCUUCUUACGUCCGAUGAUCCUUGAAAUGUACAUACAGAUGUGACAUUGUUGAUGCACCAUCUCUCAUCUUAUGCUUCUUUCCCACAUCUGCAAAUAAAAGGUUAAAACAGCAUUAUCAGUUAACAGGAACAGUUGUGUUUUGUAAUAUUCCUUCUGUCUUUGUAAUGACUUGUGACAAAGCUAAACUCAAGCAAAGUGUAAUGCAAUCACUUAGUAUAGUUUCUCCAAGAUGUGAGUUGUAAGAUAGUAUAAUCAUCUUCCAUAUUCUGAGCUUAAUCAGUAACAAAACAGAGUCCAUAUAGUCCUAAACCUAAGAUUCGCGAUACUCAACUGAACCAAGAAGAGUCUCACCCCGAAACGCAGACGCGGAAUCAUUUGUCUUCAUCGCGUUUAGGAUGCUUAGAACUAGAUUGGAGGGAAGGAAGAGGAUUGGAGCCUUUGAUGAUCCAACCGAGUCCGAAGAAGACGCCGCCGGCGAGAAUAGCAGUGCCCCAAGCGUGUGAGUACCACUUGCUGUACUGCCUUAUCGCGAACUUCCACUGCUCCCUCAGCGUCGCCUGAUCCGGAUUCACCGACUCUGGCCGGUUAGGAGAUUUAUAACAGUCGCAAAUCCAAGGUAACUGCAUUGUUCUCUACAUCUUUAAUUCACUGUAAUAUACUUUUUUUUUUUUUGAGAAAUCAACGCCUUCUUCAGCCCAUGUAGAUACUAAAUCUUGUUCAGUCAGUAUAGUUGAUUAGACAUAGAUGCAGUAUGCAUAUGCAAACACCAUUAAUAAUAGUAUCUGUGUGAAUUUUUUGUCCAGACCCAAGAAUUUUUGGUUCUGGGACGUCAAAUGUUAACUGAAUUAAAGGACAAGAUACACUGUGUUACAGACCAGGUGAUGGAAAAGGCUGGCAAGUAUGAUCCCUCUGGAUACUUCCUCAUUGAAGUAAGAACUAAUCUUUUUCAUUUUUCUCAUCUUUUGAUGGCUGACUUAGUUUAGCUCUUCUUCUGUGAUCUAACUAGAUGCUAUUUUGCUUGUUUAGGAUAUCUUUCACAACGAUUUAAGGAACCGCAAGGCAGCAGAUUACAGCAAACCUAUACUAAACUGGCUAUGGAACUCAAAAGAUGAAGCACUUAAAAAAUGGGAAGGCAUUAUAACGGGAGAACUACAACAAAAGCAGAGAACGGCUCUAGGUGUAACGAAAGCCAUGGAUUUGCCUCGUUUUGGAUCUGCAGAGAUGCAGAGUACACGUUUCUGUGAUUUAAGAUUCAGGCUCGGAGCUAGUUAUCUUUACUGUCAUCAGGGAGAUUGCAAGCACAUGAUAGUGAUACGGGACAUGAGGCUGAGCCAUCCAGAGGAUGUUCAGAACAGAGCGGCAUACCCGAGACUGAUAUAUCAGUUGAAAACGAGGCCUCAGAAAUGCAGCGUUUGCAAGAUAUACAGAGCUUCUAAGGUUGUAUUGGAUGACAAGUGGGGAAAUGAGAAUCAAUGCUAUUACUGUGAUAUUUGUUUUGGCCAUCUGCACAACGAGGGUGGUCCUCUGUAUUGUGACGUCCCAGUCUUUGAUUAUGUGUAUGAGUAGAUAUGCAUCUCGUUACAGAAUCAUUAGAAGAUUGAAAGAAAGAAUAUAGUUGUCCAUGAUUCUUUUGUUUUUUUUUUGGUCUUAAAUCAAAAUAGAAUAAAUAGAAAUGUUUAUGUUUAGCCUAUAUCUGAAAUAGAGGAGAUUCCUUGAAUUUCUGGUACCUCUCUCUGUCUUCUCAAUUUCAAAACUGAAAUUUGUGUCUCCAUUUUAGAAAACGUCAAAACAAAAACAACAGAACAAAACCAAUGUCUUGGAACAUCCAAAUAACAUUUUUUCAUUGUUGAAUAUAACUUGUCUCAAUAACAAACUCAUAAAGACCAAAAAAAAAGAGAGGUUAAGUUUUGGACAGAAGAUGGGAGCAUAUAGAGCAGAAGAUGAUUAUGAUUACCUCUUCAAGGUGGUCUUAACCGGAGACUCCGGCGUGGGGAAAUCUAAUCUGUUAUCUCGUUUCACCAGAAAUGACUUCAGCAACGACUCACGUGCCACCAUCGGUGUUGAGUUCGCCACACGUAGCAUCCAAUGCGAUGACAAGAUCGUCAAGGCUCAAAUCUGGGAUACCGCCGGUCAAGAAAGGUACAAAAGUUAAUCCAAGAACGUGUUCUUAACACAUUUUCUUAAAACAUAUUUUCGUUUUAGGUACCGAGCCAUCACGAGCGCAUAUUACCGAGGAGCCGUUGGCGCGUUGCUAGUCUACGACGUGACGCGUCACGUGACGUUCGAGAACGUUGAGAGAUGGCUAAAGGAGCUAAGGGACCACACCGACGCGAACAUUGUGAUUAUGCUCGUUGGUAACAAAGCUGAUCUUCGUCACCUUCGAGCCAUCUCUACCGAAGAUGCCAAGGGGUUUGCGGAGAGAGAGAAUACGUUUUUCAUGGAGACAUCUGCGCUUGAAGCUCUGAACGUUGAGAAUGCCUUCACCGAAGUUCUCACUGAGAUUUACAGAGUGGUUAGCAAGAAAGCGCUUGAAGCUGGAGAUGAUCCAACCACUGCUUUGCCUAAAGGACAGACGAUUAACGUCGGAGAUAUCUCGGCUGUUAAAAAACCUGGUUGCUGCUCUGCUUAGAUACACAACCAUUGUAUUUUAUUUAUUAAACAUUUAACAUUUUCACUAAUUUCUUGCACAUUUGUAUACAUACAUACAUUCUUGGAAAAUCAUCAGACAAACAAAGUUUUUUUCUUGUUAAGUUUAUACUCUACAAUGGCUUGCUUUGUGAUCUCAUCUCCCACCCUCCCUCUUUCUCUCUACUUCGAAAAGAUCGAUGAUUCUUGUAGAUGUGCCAUUGUUAAUGCAACAUCUCUCAUCUCACGACUGCAUUUCCCCAUCUGCAACAAAAACAACCUGAUCAGUUUAUAAGAGUUGAGCGUGGAAGCCCAACUAAACAUGCUUUUGAUAUGUUUAUUCCAAUUGCAAGAUAUGUCUUGUAAUGACUAAUGACAAAGCUAAAUACAGUUCCAAAUCAAUCCUAAUCUCAUAAUCAAUAAGAUAUAUAACAUGAAACUCACCUGGAGAAUCAUUUCUCUUCAUCGGGUUUAGGAGACUUAGAACUCGAUUGGAGUGAAGGAAGAGGAUUAGAGCCUUUGAUGAUCCAACCGAGUCCGAAGAAGACGCCUCCGGCGAGAAUAGCAGUGCCCCAAGCGUGUGAGUACCACUUGCUGUACUGCCUUAUCGCGAACUUCCACUGCUCCCUCAGCGUCGCCUGAUCCGGAUUCACCGACUCUGGCCGGUUAGGAUACGUCAUCCUCUGACCCGAGAAGCUCGAAUUCGAUCCGAUCUCUGUCGCCGGUUUCUUCGCCGACGAAGAAGAAGCGGCGUUGUUGUUGCUGUUAUCGGGGAUUUGGCUCUUCUCAGACAUUGUCGUCGUCGUCGUCGUCGUCGUUAUCCUUCAGAUGCUGAAAUGUAGCCUAUUAUAACUAAAGGCCACAGACACGUGGCGGUUGGUAAAUGCCAUAAGACAGUUUAUGACAAAUAUGAUACCGGCACGUGUCGGUUGAGAAGUAACGUGGCGUGUUAGGAGCUCAUUUGCUCUUAUCAGUUGUAAAACGACAGCGUUUGGGUUGCUUCGUGACUUCUAAUAGCCACCGACACGUGUCGGUUGUUAGGAGCUCACUUUCUCUCUAUCAGCUGUAACUGUAACUAAGCGACGGCGUUUGGUUGCUUCGUGACUUCUAAUAGCCACCGACACGUGUCGGUUGUUAGGAGCUCACUUUCUCUCUCAGCUGUAACUUGUAACUGUAAUAACUAAACGACGGCGUUUGGGUGAUUCGUCGACCUCAGGCUCAAACCCCCUUAGGGUUUAGGAGGGACUGUGAUUUUGAUUUUAAUCAGUUCAUCAUCAAUGGCUUCCUCUACUACUUCCUCUCCUUCUCUUCUCUUCCCUUCUCGAAAUUUCGCAUCUUUUCCAUCAAUCCCCCUCCAUAGAAGCUCCGUCUCCUUCAUUCG